rnacentral:lncRNA from 1 species
AAGAAGUCAGGCCCCAAAGCCACGGUUUGAGCAAACCGUGCUGCCUGUAGCUCCGUCGUGGGGACGUGAAAACCUGGGAGGCUGCAAACUGUGGAAGCUGUACGCACGGUGUAGCAGACUAGUGGUUAGAGGAGACCCCUCCCAUGACACAACGCAGCAGCGGGGCCCGAGCACUGAGGGAAGCUGUACCUCCUUGCAAAGGACUAGAGGUUAGAGGAGACCCCCCGCAAACAAAAACAGCAUAUUG